AGAGUUUGAUCCUGGCUCAGAGUGAACGCUGGCGGCGUGCUUAACACAUGCAAGUCGAACGGUAACAGAGAAGAGCUUGCUCUUCUGCUGACGAGUGGCGCACGGGUGAGUAAUAUAUAGUUAAUGUGCCUCGAAGACUGGGAUAGCCAUUGGAAACGAUGAUUAAUACUGGAUACUCCUUCUAAACUUAAGUUUAGUCGGGAAACGUUUUUUCGCUUCGAGAUCAGACUAUAUCCCAUCAGUUUGUUGGUGAGGUAAGAGCUCACCAAGGCAAUGACGGGUAGCGGGUUUGAGAGGAUGAUCCGCCACACUGGUACUGAGACACGGACCAGACUCCUACGGGAGGCAGCAGUGAGGAAUAUUGCACAAUGGGCGAAAGCCUGAUGCAGCAACGCCGCGUGGAGGAUGACGCAUUUCGGUGUGUAAACUCCUUUUAUGAGUCAAGAAAAUGACGGUAGCUCAUGAAUAAGCACCGCUAACU
rnacentral:rRNA from 1 species